AACAAGGAUGAUAAUCAAGAUUAAGAUGAACCCGAAUAUUUAUCAGUGAGAAACAAGUGCGAUCCGUUAUAAUUGAUCGUUAAUAUCUGUUACUAAAAUGGACUAUUAUGCCACUUAAAGUUGAUACAACCAAUUAUCUUUUACUUGUUCUUCAUCAACUUUUCCUCAUCAUCAUCUUCUUACAACUUUCUUCUCAGUGUCUUGUCUCUUUACCUCAUAUUCACAUAUCUUCACCUAAGGCAUUUUCAUCUCCUUUUGGCGUUAACUUACCUAUUACAUUUUUGUGCCCAAUGUUGAUCAACAAUUCAUGCUUCCAUUAGUUGAGCAAAGUCAAAAAUAAGAUGAACAAGAAGAGCGUUGAUUAAGUGUCUGAGUGUUUUUUCUUGAUGCUUUAACCUGAAAAAUCUAUUCUAAGAUAUGUUUUCCAAUAUUAACGCCCAGUGACCUUUUUCUUGGCCAGUUUAAGCUCAUGCUACUUGUCAAAUUAAUCAAGUAAAAGGAUUAGUAAAUGUUAUUGACAGAAGAUAAAGGAAAAAAGAUUCAUUGAAACAGUUUUAUGCCAAGGAAGAUCGGAUAGGAAGAACGAAGAAGCCAUUCUUACUGUUUACAGUUAUUGGUAGACCAUUUUGCAUCCCUAAACGACUUUAAUUACCGCUAAUAGAGACAAAAUCAUUAACACAUCGUUAUUUGUUAUGUUAAUGUGUCUAUCUAGCAUAGAGUUUAAAUCAAAGGUCGACAAUUUAUAUCAAUUCCUGGUUAAUUUGCUGCUAUUAAUCAUCAUUUUUAUUGAAUCUCUGCUGAAUCAACAAUGGAAAACUAUUUCUUCUCAUAAAAAAACCUGUUUGCUUUUACAACACAUAACUGGACGGUGAUUAUGUUGUGGACAUUCAAUUUAGAUGGAAUUGGUUUGAGCAAAGUUUCAAUCGUCAUAUUUGCAAUUAAUCUCAAUGGAAUUGUUAUUUAUGAUUGGAAAUAUAUUUCUCUUUUCGAUGGACUCAAUGAUAGAUUGUAAAGCCAACUGCGUGAAGGAACAAUUUUUAAUCAUUUCAAGUAACAAGAAAAACUAGCAACAUGGCAAGGUGUGUUUUUGGCUAAUAAUCUACAGACAAGAAGAACAAGUUACCUCUGGUCAAGCGAUGUUAUAGUUCAAGAUAUUAUUAACACACAAAAUCGAUACAAGUCACGGAGAAGGAAAGGUCACUUGCAAAGGUGAAAGGCUAAGAUGAAGAUGAGGAUGAAUAAGUUUGGAAUCUUUAAUUUGUAAACAAUUACUAUUACCAUUGGACUAAUCACGAAUUUUUUAGCAACAAUUAGUAGUCAGGUUAACAGAAUUUCAACUCUGCAAGAAUCCAACUAAUUCCGUUAAUCAAGACACUUUCAUCAAGCAAACAAGACCAGACUAAUUAAAUGGCAUUUUGUUACCCAAGAAACCGGACUGACUUAAUUAGCUUUGUCCCAAUCUGAUUAGGAGUGAAAAUGAUCAACACAAUGGCAACAUUUUUAUGCUGUUAGACAAGUAAUUGUUUUGGAUCUGCUUUUUUCUCCAGUUGGACAGCAAGAAACAAUCUGAUGAAACAAAAUUACUCAGGAUUACAGGAUGAUGAAUUAGUGGCUGAUAAGUGAUAAAAAAUACAAAUGAAAGCUUGGAUGUGAAAUUCUUGGAGACUUUCAUUGCUAUCAUAUAAUAUAUUAAUUAGCAUGUUGAUUGUUCUGAUUCACUUUUUGACCUAGAAUGGUUUCCUUUCAUCCUCUGUUACAAUCAAAUGUCUACUAUUUUUAUGGUUGGAACAAAAUUUUUAUGGAUUAAUGGACUUGAUGCGCUUUUUAGUUGCCUCUUGACCAUUGUCCAUUCAUUUACUUCUGAAUAUUUCAAUCUCUCUCUCUCUCUCACCCUCAGGCAAUUUGUUUUUUUUUGUUGUCUUUGUAUCAUUAUAAAGCAUUAUAUUAGGAAUAUUAUUGUACACUUUUGACUUUUCUUGUAAUUUGUGCAUUAAUGUGAUUAUCUUACCUUCUUGAAGUCUUGCCUUUCAUUGAGAAUCAACUGUUGACCCGAUUUUUAUCAACAUGAUUCCUGUGUUUGUCCAAAGGCAGUGGAAUAAAAAAGGUCAACUCGAUUCGGUAGAUUAACAUCAACAUGAUUAAGAUUAACUUUACAAUGUAAUAAAAGUAAAUAAUAGUAUAAAUAAAACGAAAUGAAAAAAUUAUCAAAGGCUGACCAUUACUUUUGUUUGAUAAAUGUCAAUGUGUUACUCUUUUUGUCAAAGGGAGAGACAAAAAAAACAACAAAUAAAAGAUAUAAAAGGUAAAAAUAAAAAAGUUAAUCAAACUUAGUUUGUUAACUAAAUAAAUUCAAUUGUCAAUUGAUAUCUUAGUUACUAUUAAGUAAAGAGUGAAGCUAAUUUCCGUUCGCUCCUGUAAGGCUUAAUGAUCAGUAUGAAAUUGCUGCCUUGAACAAGACUGAUCAAGAAGAUGAUGAUGAUUGGAUUUGUGUGUGUAUUACAGAUUAUAGUUGACAAACGGAUAGCGGAGUGAGAAAAACUGACCUCGGAAAGAAAGAUGAGGUGAAAAUCAUUUUGUUCCGGUUUAAAAGAU